AUGUCUUCAUUUAGGCAAAGUCGUGGAGUUCAGUACCACGAUACACUUGUAAAUUGCGGGAAAGUCUCGUUUUAGGCAAUACAUACCGCGGCCCGCCGAGAGGUGAGAUCCAGGAAUGAGUCAGGGUGCAGCAGUGAGCGUAACGGCUCAUGGAUGGUAAAAACUGUAUUGAUAGAGAUAAUCUGCAUCGAAGCGCGACUUUUUAUAAAAGAAAAGAGGCGAACGUUCAGAGACUAUAAUCGAGUGGGCGCAAGCUUAAGGGAUAGUCCAAUCCACGGGGAGACCCGGUC
rfam:Bathycoccus prasinos genomic : Chromosome_11.